GUGAAUAAUUUUUAUAACGUAAAAGCUAAAUAAAUUUAUACAUACUGUAAUACAGUAAGCCAAAAUAUUUAAUUUAAUUUACAAUAACAAGAGGGCCCCCGAAUAAACAAAAGUAAAGAUGAUUGUGAACCUACAGUUUGGAAAAUACAGAUCCAACGGUAGUCCUCGAUGAGAUCAGCUAUCUACAGUCUAUACUGAACCUGAAAUGGGUGGAAAUGAGGGUGGUGAGAUUAUAAAAUCCUAAUGAGUAAACAAACAUCAUCAUAAAUAUCUAGAGUUGAGUACAUGGAGACAAUAAAGUAAAUCAUCGUAAACUGGGUCACAGCAUUAGAUUACAUUUCAUUUAAAAUACGUAAAGAGGCUUAUGAAUCUCAUAAAAACUAGGCUUAUGCCAUAAAUCCAUUCUCAUGGACACCUUGGCCGAGGCAUCCUACCGAGACCGCUAAGGCUAUUAAAAUUCACAUUUCACAUAAAUCAUGUUUUUGUUUUGAAAAUAUAGUAAUUCCUUGGCGUUGGUUGAGUUUCCCCUCACGUGGUGGUUUGACAUGAAGUGAACCCUAAGCUUUACCCCAGGAGAUACCCUACGCGCCUCUCUGUUCGAGGUAAGAAUAUAAUAGGGUUUACCGUGCCCCUCUAAAAGGCUGGUCCACAGAAACCCCCUACUGCAGUGAUUAAUUAAUAUAUAUAAUCCACCAUACAAUAAAACUCAAUAACAUGAUAUGGCAAUUUUGUAAUUCACAGUUUUUCAAGGCAACCAAACAAUUCGCAUUUCAAUACAAUUGCCAACUAGCCAAUGAUGCCCGAUUUAUCAUAAGCCAAUCAAUUUAAACAAUCAAAUUGCCACAAUUAACAGUCUCCGUGUACUCUAUUUUUCAAAAUCACUAUUAAUUUCAAAACAAUUUAUAAUUUAAUUUCAUUAAAACACAUUUAUUCAUAAAACAUGAAAAUUUACCUUUUUAAAUUCCUUUUUCCAUAGAAUUCAUGAAAUCAUCUAAAAACUACCCUAGAUAAUUAAAAUGACAGUAAGUUUACUCACAAUGUCUAGAAUGCAGACUUUCGA
rnacentral:lncRNA from 1 species